CUAGCGUUCUCUUCUUUUAUAUAUGUCAAGAUCUCACAACUGCAAAUCUGCAAUUCUGCCACAUCCUCAUAUUCUACUCUCAACCUCUCUGUCUUAGGCACGCACGCUAGUGCGCUGGCACGCACACUGUCAAAGAGACGAGCUAAAGUCAUGUCAACAAAGAAUAAUCGAGUGUACCUUAGACCAAGUAUCAUCAAGAAAGCCAUUUCCCUAAAACAGAACUCUGUUGGUAAGAAAGUUGCUGGGAACUGGGGGCUUUCUGGAUGUUGUGGAUUCAGACUACCCAAAAG
rnacentral:misc_RNA from 1 species